rnacentral:rRNA from 1 species
GAUGAACGCUGGCGGCGUGCUUAACACAUGCAGGUCGAACGGUGAAGGCGGAGCUUGCUCUGCUGGAUCAGUGGCGAACGGGUGAGUAACACGUGAGCAAUCUGCCCCUGACUCUGGGAUAAGCGCUGGAAACGGCGUCUAAUACUGGAUACGAGCUGCGAAGGCAUCUUCAGCAGCUGGAAAGAACUUCGGUCAGGGAUGAGCUCGCGGCCUAUCAGCUUGUUGGUGAGGUAACGGCUCACCAAGGCGUCGACGGGUAGCCGGCCUGAGAGGGUGACCGGCCACACUGGGACUGAGACACGGCCCAGACUCCUACGGGAGGCAGCAGUGGGGAAUAUUGCACAAUGGGCGAAAGCCUGAUGCAGCAACGCCGCGUGAGGGACGACGGCCUUCGGGUUGUAAACCUCUUUUAGCAGGGAAGAAGCGAAAGUGACGGUACCUGCAGAAAAAGCGCCGGCUAACUACGUG